AUUGAACGCUGGCGGCAUGCCUUACACAUGCAAGUCGAACGGCAGCACGGGGGCAACCCUGGUGGCGAGUGGCGAACGGGUGAGUAACAUAUCGGAACGUGCCCUGGAGUGGGGGAGUAACUAGUCGAAAGACUAGCUAAUACCGCAUACGAUCUACGGAUGAAAGUGGGGGAUCGCAAGACCUCAUGCUCGUGGAGCGGCCGAUAUCUGAUUAGCUAGUUGGGNGGGGUAAAGGCCUACCAAGGCAUCGAUCAGUAGCUGGUCUGAGAGGACGACCAGCCACACUGGGACUGAGACACGGCCCAGACUCCUACGGGAGGCAGCAGUGGGGGAAUUUUGGACAAUGGGCGCAAGCCUGAUCCAGCAAUGCCGCGUGAGUGAAGAAGGCC
rnacentral:rRNA from 1 species